CCCUUAGAUGUUCUGAACCGCACGCGUGUUACACUGAUGCAUUCAACGAGCUUUACCUUGGCCGAGAGGCCUGGGAAAUCUUUUUAGCAUGCAUCGUGAUAGGGAUUGAUUAUUGCAAUUAUUAAUCAUGAACGAGGAAUUCCUAGUAAACGCAUUUCAUCAAAAUGCAUUGAUUACGUCCCUGCCCUUUGUACACACCGCCCGUCGCACCUACCGAUUGAAUGGUCCGGUGAAAUCUCGGGACGGCGGCUUGGUCGCUUGCGUCCGACUGCUGAAACUUGAUUAAACCAUAUCAUUUAGAGGAAGGUGAANUCGUANCA
rnacentral:rRNA from 1 species